rnacentral:rRNA from 1 species
UGUAAUUGGAAUGAUGGGAAUUUAAACCUCUUCCAGAGUAUCAAUUGGAGGGCAAGUCUGGUGCCAGCAGCCGCGGUAAUUCCAGCUCCAAUAGCGUAUAUUAAAAUUGUUGCAGUUAAAAAGCUCGUAGUUGAAUUUCUGCUGCAUUACAUAUCUCUUGGUUGAGUUUGUUUUUGUGGCUUAUUUCGGUUUGAUUUUUUCUUUCCGGAUGAUUACUUUGAGAAAAUUAGAGUGCUCAAAGCAGGCUUUUGCCUUGAAUAGUUUAGCAUGGAAUAAUAAAGUAGGACUUUGGUUCUAUUUUGUUGGUUUUAGGUACCAAAGUAAUGGUUAAUAGGAACAGUUGGGGGCAUUCGUAUUUAACUGUCAGAGGUGAAAUUCUUAGAUUUGUUAAAGACGAACUACUGCGAAAGCAUUUGCCAAGGAUGUUUUCAUUAAUCAAGAACGAAAGUUAGGGGAUCGAAGACGAUCAGAUACCGUCGUAGUCCUAACCAUAAACUAUGCCGACUAGAGAUUGGAGGUCGUCAGUUUUUACGACUCCUUCAGCAC